CAGCUGUACACUCGACGCUAACAACACCGACUUAUGGACUUUGCAAAUGACUUUUCCCCCCAAAGUAUACACGAAAUGGAGAUGCGGUGAGAGCAGUGCGCUCCCGGGGCGGAAGGUCACUUUCAGCUGGAUUCAGACGUGCUUUUUUCUUGUGCUUCGUGAUGAAAAAGUUGUUUUCCACACCGUGGGGCCAUGCAAAAAUCACGAAAGCCCCAGUUUGUGCAGCUGGCCUUCUAGAGACAACUUCCACAAGAGCACAAAUGGCUGGAAAGAUGUUAUCGUCACACAGCACCGUGCAGACGCUCACCGCCUUCAGCUAUUUUAAUGUGAAAUUGGCAAAUUAUGAAGAUUGAAAAAAUAAAGGUAAAAUAAAGGUGGCA